UACGUAGGGUGCGAGCGUUGUCCGGAAUUAUUGGGCGUAAAGAGCUCGUAGGUGGUUUGUCGCGUUGUUCGUGAAAACUCACAGCUCAACUGUGGGCGUGCGGGCGAUACGGGCAGACUUGAGUACUGCAGGGGAGACUGGAAUUCCUGGUGUAGCGGUGGAAUGACGCAGAUAGUCAGGAGGAACACCGGUGGCGAAGGCGGGUCUCUGGGCAGUAACUGAC
rnacentral:rRNA from 1 species